GGCUGCACCAUCAGCGGAGUCCCUGAGGGAGCUUCUAUGUCUCUGCCACUCAACCGAACCUGUGACCUUAAACGAGUUAAAGAGCUUUUCAACGCUGGGGUCUGUGAACUGGACAGGGAACGCAGUGCUCACAGCAUACUUGGCAAACGUCCUGGGCUCAAGCAGAGCGUCGCACCGUCCCUUACUGAUGAACGUGCAUGAUGGUAAACGUUGAGGGCUCCUUAUGAGGCCACCUUAGGGGAUGACUACUCCCUCUGAGGGUAGAGGGCUGCUCCCACCUCCAAACCCUGUUCCAGGAGGCAAUAUCCUGGAGGCCCAGGAUUCUCGCGUCAAUGGGAGCGGGCGGGGCCGGGGCGGUACGUGUGGGGCAGGGGGUUAACCCAACUCCCCGAGUCACCCUAAGAAGCCAGGCGAGCAGAAGUAGCUGGUCCAGCCUCAGCCUCAGCCCCGCCCUUGGUCCCGCCCUCCCGGAACCGGCGCCCCCAUUGGUGGCGUCUGGCGGCGCUGCCGCUGUUAUUUUUCGAAUAUAUAAGGAGGUGGAGGUGGCAGCUGCCCAGCUCGGCGUCCUCCCCUCCCUUCCUCCCCACAUCCCUCUCCUCACUCCCAGGCCCAUUGCUCUUCCUCCCUCCCUUCCCUCCCUCCUUCCCCUCACCCCAGGCUCACUCUCGGAGCUGAGCCAGCUGGGUCGGCGUCUGCUGGCCGCUGUACUGUGGCCCUCUAGCUAGCCUUUGCCCGCCCCGCCACGAUGGAGGUACCCCUGCAGAAGUCUGCGCCGGGUUCAGCUCUCAGUCCUGCCCGCGUGCUGGGUGGCAUUCAGCGGCCGCGCCACCUCUCGGUCUUUGAGUUUGAGUCUGAUGGCUUCCUGGGGUCUCCGGAGCCUACAGCUUCCUCCUCUCCGGUUACCACUCUUACACAGACCAUGCACAACCUCGCUGGGCUCGGCAGUGAGCCUCCAAAAGCUCAAGUAGGAAGCCUGUCGUUCCAGAACAGGCUGGCAGACCUAUCCCUGUCCAGGCGCACCUCUGAGUGCUCCCUGUCAUCUGAGUCCUCAGAAUCUUCGGAUGCAGGUCUGUGCAUGGACUCCCCCAGCCCUGUGGACCCGCAGAUGGCAGAGCGCACGUUUGAACAGGCCAUUCAGGCAGCCAGUCGGGUCAUUCAAAAUGAGCAGUUUACCAUAAAACGCUUCCGAUCCUUACCAGUGAGGCUGCUGGAACACAGUCCGGUGCUGCAGAGCAUCACCAACUCCCGAGCACUGGACAGCUGGAGGAAAACUGAAGCAGGCUACCGAGCCGCCGCCAAUAGUCCUGGGGAGGACAAAGAGAAUGAUGGAUAUAUCUUCAAGAUGCCACAGGAGCUCCCUCAUUCCAGCUCUGCCCAAGCUUUGGCAGAAUGGGUCAGCCGCAGACAGGCCUUUACCCAGAGGCCCAGCUCAGCCCCUGACUUGAUGUGUCUUACCACUGAGUGGAAGAUGGAAGUAGAGGAGCUGAGCCCGGUGGCACAGUCUUCUUCCUUGACUCCUGUCGAAAGGGCUUCUGAAGAAGAUGACGGAUUUGUGGACAUCCUGGAGAGUGAUUUAAAGGAUGACGAGAAGGUCCCCGCGGGCAUGGAGAACCUCAUUAGUGCCCCACUGGUCAAAAAGCUGGAUAAGGAAGAGGAACAGGAUCUCAUCAUGUUCAGCAAGUGCCAGAGGCUCUUCCGCUCCCCAUCCAUGCCAUGCAGUGUGAUCCGACCCAUCCUCAAGAGGCUAGAGCGGCCCCAGGACCGGGAUGUGCCUGUCCAGAGCAAGCGCAGGAAAAGUGUGACACCCCUGGAAGAGCAGCAGCUUGAAGAACCUAAGGCCCGUGUCUUUCGCUCAAAGUCGCUGUGUCAUGAGAUUGAGAACAUCCUGGAUAGUGACCACCGUGGACUGAUCGGAGAUUACUCUAAGGCCUUCCUCCUGCAGACCGUGGAUGGCAAACACCAAGACCUUAAGUACAUCUCACCAGAAACUAUGGUGGCCCUGUUAACAGGCAAGUUCAGCAACAUCGUGGAGAAAUUUGUCAUUGUGGACUGCAGAUACCCCUAUGAGUAUGAAGGCGGGCAUAUCAAGGUGCCGCUUCAUCAGGGAACGGGACCGUGCAGCUAACGACUACCCCAGCCUGUACUACCCGGAGAUGUACAUCCUCAAAGGCGGCUACAAGGAGUUCUUCCCACAGCAUCCGAACUUUUGUGAGCCCCAGGACUACCGACCCAUGAACCACGAGGCUUUCAGGGAUGAGCUGAGGAACUUUCGCCUUAAGACUCGCAGCUGGGCUGGGGAACGGAGCAGGAGGGAACUUUGUAGCAGGCUGCAAGACCAGUGAUGAUGAGCCUGCUGCCAUCCUUACCUCGUGAGGCUUGGGAGCCAGUGGGUCCCAUGGGCCUGUGAGGCCACCUACCUUAUAGAGGCCUCAGGUGCUAUAGGGGGUUGGGGGCAUGGUGUGGUGUCACAUCUGUCUGCCCCUGUCCUCAAUUUUCCUGUCUCACUCCACUUAUUUUCUGUAUCUUGGUACUGGUCCCAGCUUAAAGAGCUGAACCUGAGGGUGGAUGCCAGCUGAGGAGAAGUCUGUUGUGUUCAGUGGGAGUCCUUUUACAGUCUUUUUUCCUUGUUUGUGUUGACUCUUUGUCUUCCCGCUUUUUGGGGAGAGCCUCAGCCCGUUAGGAUGGCACAGUAGCUUCUUGCAUGGCCUGGAUGCAGGAUGCUACUCUGCUACACAGGGCUGUGUCUACUCUCCUCUCCUGGCCACUGCAUAGACUUAUGCUCUCCAUUGGAAGCAUAAGUGCUUUCUCUUCUGUUGUAGUCUUACCUGUAGCUUUCAUUUUUUUGUCUGUCUGACACACUGACCGCUGGGGAGGCUUCCUUGUACAGCUUGGGGCUAGAGAUUCAAAUAUCACUUACUCGUUAGGCCUGGCUUUUGUUAGCCCAGAAAGGGAUCUUGCCCUUUAAGACCCCCAGGGCUAGAGGGAAGGCCUGACUCAGGAGCCUCUGGGAGCCCCAUCCUCACUACUGUGAACCCCAGAGCCUCGCUGGUCAGCACUUGCUGCUGGGCAAUGGACCAGUCACCGAGCUUUGCUGUUUGAUCCUUCUCUGCCCUUCCCUGUUUUCCUUUCUAUAUCUGGCCCAGAAGACCUCUUGUAUGUGUGGUUUUUCUGUGUUGUACUAGUGACUUGAGUCUAGGCCCUUUGUUGCAUGGUCAUGGAUGCACAGUGCCUUAUAUACAUGUAUGCACACAAACCGGGUCCAAGUAUUUUGGUAAGCAUGAUGGCCUAUGGCAGGAGUGUGUGUGUGCGCGUGUGAACAAAGUCAUUACACUUAGUGUUUGGAAAUGUUAAAGAAGCAUUGUUAUGGGGAGGGGGGAGCAACCUCUGGGUUCAGAAUCUACAUAUGCUGGAAGGCCCCAAUGAGUCCUCUGUUGGGGGCCUUGGUUCAAUAAAGCACUGAGCAAGUUGAA